rnacentral:rRNA from 1 species
UACGUAGGGGGCUAGCGUUGUCCGGAAUCAUUGGGCGUAAAGCGCGCGUAGGCGGCCCGGUAAGUCCGCUGUGAAAGUCCAGGGCUCAACCCUGGAAAGCCGGUGGAUACUGCCGGGCUAGAGUCCGGGAGAGGCGAGUGGAAUUCCUGGUGUAGCGGUGGAAUGCGCAGAUAUCAGGAGGAACACCAAAGGCGAAGGCAGCUCGCUGGGACGGUACUGACGCUGAGGUGCGAAAGCGUGGGGAGCGAACAGG